rnacentral:lncRNA from 1 species
GUGUUCUUUAAACCGCACAUUUACGUCGAACACAUACUAUGAGAGUUAAAUCGCUGAAAUGAAAAAAUGCACAGAAUGUCUCAUCUUCAUUAAAAUAUAUCCCACGCUCUCAAAUUUUCGUAUUAAAUGUGAUUAAUUACGGUUGUAUUUCGACAUUUGGGGAGAAUGACUUGAACUGCAGUAUGACCCGGAAGUGUUUCUAACUCCGGAAACCAGCGAAGGGAUGCGACCGAACAGCUCAGUUCGUACAACUGCAAAGAAAGCUAAAACAAAUAUGGGUGAAAAACAGCCUUUUCCCAUGUAAAACCGUAAACAGCGCAGUACAAACUGGAAAUACGAACACUUCGCAUAGUCAAGAAAUAGCUAUCAUUAAAACAGCGUUGGUUAUCGCUCGGCGAAAUGGCCUGUCUGCUAGCUCGCCAGCCCAGCGGAAAUUGCGUUUUGUUAACGGCUUGAAAACAGUGCAGACGGCGAGACGGGGCCUUGCUUUGCAAACUACUUUCUUCUGGAUGCUGGACGGGUUGUCGCCUUCCCAGUUUUCUUCUUCCCUUUCAUCAUUCAGAAGCUGCAGUUUGGGAGCCCCUGUUUUGGACGUUCUCCCCAGGCGACUCCUCGCCCUUCCCCGUCCGGAUCUUUUGGAGACCGCGGGGCUGUCAGGCUGAAGGAGGGGAAUGUGAACGAAAGAUGAAAUGCUGUCCCGCGGUUUUUCUACACUCCAUAUUCGCACUGUACGCGGUACAGUCCGGUGCGGUGCGCGCGCACAGCCGCGGUGGCGCUGACGGAGAGCGCGCGGACAGCCCGCGAGGCGCACAGCCACAGAAGAAUUUGGUAACAGUCACUGGAAGGAGUUGCCUUGCCUCACUUCAGUUUCCAUCUCAUCCUCCACCUUCUAUAAGUAAAACACAACAACAAAGGUGACCUGACUGUUUAUUCUUCACCGGUAAAGAAAAUGGACAGCAUCGUUGAACUGGGCCAUGAUCAACCUGCUCUGCAUCUUGCAACUACCUAAACCAAAGAGUCUUGUUUUUGGUAACAGAGCAACAAGGCCAAUAAGAAAAGGCAAAAAAAGUGAAUGGUCUAAGUAGCAACUGAAUACACCUAAAUUUCCAAAGAGAAGAAACUAUCUGAAUAGUGGCUAAAACAGGUUCCAUCAUUUACAACAAGGAAAAACAUAAUAGUCAACAACUGAAAUUGUAUUGCAGAUUCAAAUGACAUUAAAGAACAGGUUACAUACGGUAACCAACAGGCCAGUAGGGUUUUGGGGUAUAUAGCAAAUGCAGAUAAAAUGUCUUCAAGUUCACUAAGACAAAUACUGACAAAGCUAAACAGCACUUAAUCAGCUUGGUUCUGAACAAAUCUUUGCUCUUCUUGGAUUUACACUGAUGAAGCAGUGAUACUAAGAAGUGUUAAGCAGCAGGAGCAUACUGCAAACCUGCUAUAUCAGUGAAAAGCAGUCUGAUUUUAAAAAAGACACCUAUGGUUC